rnacentral:sRNA from 1 species
AUCUAUUUCGAUUUGUCAUUUUCCUUACCAAUUAACACAACACAUAACAUAUAUAGAUAGAUUCACAUUACAAAACAAAGACAAAACGACGUCGUUUUCGUAACGGGUGUGGGAUUAGUCUGGUAAAUCACAAUAGCGGUACAAUAAACGCGGAUUUGUGGUUAAUCUCGGUUUAAUGACCGGUUCAAUUAGAAACGUAUUUUUAAGGAUGAAUCUGAAAGUACAUGUUGCAAUUUAAAGAAUUAUCAAAGUUUAUGGUGGAAAUUUCAGGAGCAAAAAGUCUGGGGGGAAAAGCUGAGAAUGCAAUUAGUUUAUGGUUAUAAAAUCAGCCAACCUUUUUCUUAACAUAUAUAGGUGAUUAAUCGGGUAAAUCGCAAUCGCGGUACAGUAAACGCGGAUUUGUGGUUAAACCCGAUUUAAUGACCGGUUCAAUUGGAAAUGUAUUUUUAAGGAUGAAUCUGAAAGUACAUGCUGUAAUUUA